GCGUUUUACUUCCGCCAAGGUGCGCCCCUUCCACAGUGAAGCGGCGUUAAACGGGAAGCCGGUGCGUUCUUUUACGAACUAUCCCGGCGCUGCCCCCGCAACGGUAAUCGACCGCAGAGUCGUUCUGCACGGCACCUCAACGCCACUGGGUUAUCCCGGGAAGGCGAGGCGGCGUACGUCGAGAGCCCGGAGACCGGCCUUGCUGGAUGUGACUGGU
rnacentral:ncRNA from 1 species